rnacentral:lncRNA from 1 species
CUCUGAGGAAAUGUUGACCUCUAUGCUGAGGUCAGGCACUGGUGACCCUGGGAAGGAAGCCAUGCACAGAUAAGUGCCGUAGUCACUGAAGUGCAGGUCAAUGAGCUCCAGGCUGCUGGUGACAGCGGGCAACUCGGGGUCAUUUCGGGUCACCAGCAGCCGCUUGGAUGUGCGUGCCGGCUUGCCGUUUUUAAACCACUGAUAGUUCACCUUCUCCUGGGGCACCGCAUCCACAUGGCAUGACAGCUUCAGGUCCUGACCGAGUUGAAUGUUCUCGCUUUCUUUGAUCAUGUCGGGGGUGAUCUGGAAUGUGGCGUUCUUCAGGGCUGCAAGGAGAUGGGGUUCGAAGAAGGCUGGAGCUGACCCAAGGACAGACCUAAAGAGACCAGAACACUCCGGGGGCCCAAAGAGAACAACACCUUCGCAUCAGAAAUUCGGAACACAAAGUCUGUGACUACCCUGAGGACUACUUGGCUUCCAUCUGUCUGUCCAUUCU